AGUGAACGCUGGCGGUAGGCCUAACACAUGCAAGUCGAACGGCAGCACAGUAAGAGCUUGCUCUUACGGGUGGCGAGUGGCGGACGGGUGAGGAAUACAUCGGAAUCUACUUUUUCGUGGGGGAUAACGCAGGGAAACUUACGCUAAUACCGCAUACGACCUACGGGUGAAAGCAGGGGAUCUUCGGACCUUGCGCGAUUGAAUGAGCCGAUGUCGGAUUAGCUAGUUGGCGGGGUAAAGGCCCACCAAGGCGACGAUCCGUAGCUGGUCUGAGAGGAUGAUCAGCCACACUGGAACUGAGACAUGGUCCGGACUCCUACGGGAGGCAGCAGUGGGGAAUAUUGGACAAUGGGCGCAAGCCUGAUCCAGCCAUACCGCGUGGGUGAAGAAGGCCUUCGGGUUGUAAAGCCCUUUUGUUGGGAAAGAAAAGCAGCAGGUUAAUACCCCGCUGUUCUGACGGUACCCAAAGAAUAAGCACCGGCUAACUUCGUG
rnacentral:rRNA from 1 species